rnacentral:rRNA from 1 species
AGGACGAACGCUGGCGGCGUGCCUAACACAUGCAAGUCAACGGGGAUUUGUUUCGGCAGAAUCCUAGUGGCGAACGGGUGAGUAACGCGUAGGCAACCUGCCCUCCGGCCGGGGGACAACACUCCGAAAGGGGUGCUAAUACCGGAUACGAAGUCUGUGCCGCAUGGUACGGGACUUGAAAGAUGGCCUCUAUUUAUAAGCUAUCGCCGGGGGAUGGGCCUGCGUCCGAUUAGCUGGUUGGUGGGGUAACGGCCUACCAAGGCGACGAUCGGUAGCCGGUCUGAGAGGAUGAACGGCCACAUUGGGACUGAGACACGGCCCAGACUCCUACGGGAGGCAGCAGUGGGGAAUCUUCCGCAAUGGGCGCAAGCCUGACGGAGCAACGCCGCCGUGAGUGAGGAAGUUCUUCGGAACGUAAAGCUCUGUUGUUCCUGACGAACCUCCCCUUUAUCAACAACGGAGGGGACUGACGGUAGGGAACGAGGAAGCCACGGCUAACUACGUGCCAGCCGCGGC